rnacentral:rRNA from 1 species
AUUGAACGCUGGCGGCGUGCUUAACACAUGCAAGUCGAGCGGUAACAGGCGUAGCAAUACGUGCUGACGAGCGGCGAACGGGUGCGUAAUACAUGGGAAUCUGCCCUUUGGUGGGGAAUAACCCGGCGAAAGCCGGGCUAAUGCCGCAUGAGAUCUUCGGAUGAAAGCGGGGGAUCGUAAGACCUCGCGCCGAUGGAUGAGCCCAUGUCGGAUUAGCUAGUUGGUGAGGUAACGGCUCACCAAGGCGACGAUCCGUAGCUGGUCUGAGAGGACGGCCAGCCCGCCUGGGCCUGAGCACCGGCCCAGAGUCCUACGGGAGGCAGGAGUGGGGGAUAUUGGACAAUUGGGGAAACCCUGAUCCAGCGACGCCGCGUGUGUGAAGAAGGCCUGCGAGUUGUAAAGCACUUUCGAUGGGAUCGAAAUGUGCCGGGCUAAUACCCCGGCAAGCUGACGUUACUCAAUGAAGAAGCACCGGCUAACUCUGUGCCAGCAGCCGCAGUAACAC